rnacentral:tRNA from 1 species
AGGGGUGUAGGCUCAAUGGUAAACCGCUGGUCUCCAAAACCGGAUUUCAGGGUUCGAAUCCCUGCGCCCCUG